rnacentral:rRNA from 1 species
UACGUAGGGUGCAAGCGUUAAUCGGAAUUACUGGGCGUAAAGCGUGCGCAGGCGGUUUUGUAAGUUUGUCGUGAAAUCCCCGGGCUCAACCUGGGAAUGGCGAUGAAGACUGCAAGGCUAGAAUCUGGCAGAGGGGGGGUAGAAUUCCACGUGUAGCAGUGAAAUGCGUAGAGAUGUGGAGGAACACCGAUGGCGCAAGGCA